CCUACGGGUGGCAGCAGUGAGGAAUAUUGGUCAAUGGGAGAGAUCCUGAACCAGCCAAGCCGCGUGAGGGAAGACGGCCCUAUGGGUUGUAAACCUCUUUUGUCGGAGAACAAAACCCGGGACGUGUCCCGGACUGCGUGUAUCCGAAGAAAAAGCAUCGGCUAACUCCGUGCCAGCAGCCGCGGUAAUACGGAGGAUGCGAGCGUUAUCCGGAUUUAUUGGGUUUAAAGGGAGCGUAGGCCGCAUGUCAAGCGUGCUGUGAAAUGUCCGGGCUCAACCCGGGCCUUGCAGCGCGAACUGGCGUGCUUGAGUCCGCGGAAAGCAGGCGGAAUUCGUCGUGUAGCGGUGAAAUGCUUAGAUAUGACGAAGAACCCCGAUUGCGAAGGCAGCUUGCUGCAGCGGAACUGACGCUGAUGCUCGAAAGCGCGGGUAUCGAACAGGAUUAGAUACCCCAGUAGUC
rnacentral:rRNA from 1 species